CAACCACUGGGGCCAAUCCAGGUGAGCAACGUGGGCAGGGCCAGAAGUGUGGGCGGAAGUGCAUCGGUCACCAUCUUGGCGUCCGGCGGGGCCCCUCUCGGAGGGCCGGCCACAUUGUCCCUCCCCCCUCGGUCUGGGUCAUUUGCUAUGAACACUGCAGCAGUGACCCAUCAGGGCAGCGGAACAGACGCGUUUUGGCAGCGCUCCCCCAGGGUGGGUGCAUCAGGCGUCAGUUUGCCUAGGCCCACAGAUGUGGCCAUCUUGCUUUACGGAGGACAGAUGGGCACGCGCCGCCAUCUUGCCAUCCUGCGGGGCUUGGGGACCAGCUCCCACUUGCUGCACAGUGUCACUUCGAGCCCUACUCUUGUGGCAGUCCCACUGUGGGGUGGAGAGGAGGGGGCCGGAGCCUGGCAGCAUGACAGCCUGAGGCUCGGGAUGGUGAUCACUGCACUGCCGCAAACUGCUCCCACCACUGGGCAACGAGGAGAAACAGCCAUCUCCUUCCACAGGGAGCCUGCCUUGAUCUCUGAGAUCAGGAAUGUGGCUGAGCAAAUGCAGCUUCUACCUCCAAAUUGACACGCCUCUCAGAUGCUCUGUUGCUAGAAGGGUCCUGGCAGUGCAGGGAAAGGUGGCUCUGCACUGGAGGCUCCACAUAAAGGACUCAAAACGUCUUGUCCAGUUGCUAAAAGCUGUUCACAGGGAUGACUGGACCCUACUAAGUAUUCUUUCAUCUGUAGUGAACAUUUCACCAAAAAAAACUCUUGAACAGGCUGGAGGGUCAGUACUACAUGUUCAAGCCCACGGCCUUGCCCUCCAUCUUCCACCUGACUGAGAAGGAGGAGCUGAAGGCCACGGCCGCCCCAGAAGAAAUGACACCAAGAUAGCCGCCAGGGACAAGAGGAACAUGCCAGUGAAGCAGACGGGAAAGGAGCUUCAGGUUCAUCCUUAUCCUCGAGGGAAAACCUGAGGGCCCAGCCAGGGUCCCGCAAAUUGAAGCGAGCCCUUCUGCAGGGCAAACCCGAACCCAGUGCCACCCAGGAAGCCACCAGUCAGGAGCGGGCACAGAGUCUCUGGAAGGAACUCCAGGAGACAGUGUGGUCUCCACAGCGUGAGGCAGCCAGGGAGAUGCAAACAGGUCUGCUGUAGAUGCUGGCGAUGAGACCCCCCUCUUCCCAGCCAGGGCCUGCUGGAUAAGAGUGGCAUUUCCGUGGGUGACUUUAUCCCUCAGGAUCUGAGGCAUGCAGAUUUAUUGGCUGGCAUCCUUCUUACAGUUUCUCCUCAGCACACACUCAAGAGAGGCCAUCUGUCCCUCGAGAGGCUGUUGACCGAAAGAGGCUGAAGAGAGAUGUGGAGCCCACCUACAGUGGGACCAGCCUUGGGCCUGAUGAGAGCUUGGCCCAGAGCCCCCACAUUCAUCAUUCACAAUGAUGCCUCAGAAACGCUCCCAGAGCCCCUUCACCCUCCAACUGAUGUCACCCCGGAGCCAGCUGCAGAAGAUGUGCAGGGUGAACACAGCAACACCGGCCCCAGGUCCCUCAGCGGGGUCAUCCUGUCAGCGCUGGGGCCUAAGAACUCCUCGACUCGCUGCACUCCUACUGCUUUUGCUCCCGGGGGAACAGGAGCACGUGUGCCACCUGCAGGAGCAGGUGGAGAAGGACAGCGAGCUGAAGAGGGGCAGCUGCCGACAGCCAGGUGCACACGCUGCAGGAGGAGCUGGACGAGC